GAAUCCCCUCUCCUGCUUAAGUCCUUCCCACAGAGAGCGGUUUGAUAUGUCACUGAAACCAGCAUCCAGGUGGUAUUGCUCCAUAUGCCUGAGACCCUAACAAAAGCCUAAUUACAACUCAUAUGCCUGGAGCCAGGACAUGUGCAGGAUGACUUGUUCCAGCCCAUAGAAGGGACUGUGAUAUCUACCUAGGCCAACCUCCAGGUGAUGUAACUUUCCUCUCUGGAAUGGGUCCUGCACAAAGGAAUGAUAGUAACAUAUUGCAAAGCCAGACACACAGCCAUGAUGGUCCAAGUUAUAUUGGGAUUCAGCCAAUAGAAGAUAUUUUGCCUGUCAUCCCUAAGCUUAGGACAAUAGGGUCCUGCCCACAAGAAAGAUUGUGACAUCUCACUGGACAAGCACCCACCCAGACUCUGCCAAGAGAGGGGAUUAUUACAUAUUGCAGAGCCCAGCACCUAGGUGGAGUGACUCUCAUCUUUUUCUUCUACCCCGUAUAUAGCCAGCUUGGUGACCUACUAUUUGAGUCUAUACCCAGGCCCAGACCACAGAUGAAAUUGUGCAAUAUGUGGAACAAACACCUAAACAAUAUAUAACACCUUCCUUGGCUCUGUCUACAAAGGGCACUUUUAUAUAUCACUGGGACCAUCAACCAGGUGAUGUUAAUUAUCUUCCUGAAACCUGUCUACAAAGAGAGUUGUGUCGUAUACCUAGGCCCGUCAUGUAAGUGAUGUCAGUCCCUUCUACUGCCUUGGCCCUGCACUUACAGUGCAUUGUGACACAUAACAAGGUACUGCACACAGACGAUGUGAUUCUCCUUUUUGGGUUCUGCCAAAAGGAAGCAUUGUAAUAAAUCGCUUGGCUCAGUA
ensembl:lncRNA LINC00293 long intergenic non-protein coding RNA 293